rnacentral:rRNA from 1 species
GAUGAACGCUGGCGGCGUGCCUAAUACAUGCAAGUCGAGCGAACAGAUGAGGAGCUUGCUCCUCUGACGUUAGCGGCGGACGGGUGAGUAACACGUGGAUAACCUACCUAUAAGACUGGGAUAACUUCGGGAAACCGGAGCUAAUACCGGAUAAUAUAUUGAACCGCAUGGUUCAAUAGUGAAAGACGGUUUUGCUGUCACUUAUAGAUGGAUCCGCGCCGCAUUAGCUAGUUGGUAAGGUAACGGCUUACCAAGGCAACGAUGCGUAGCCGACCUGAGAGGGUGAUCGGCCAAACUGGAACUGAGACAAGGUCCAGACUCCUAAGGGAGGCAGCAGUAGGGAAUCUUCCGCAAUGGGCGAAAGCCUGACGGAGCAACGCCGCGUGAGUGAUGAAGGUCUUCGGAUCGUAAAACUCUGUUAUUAGGGAAGAACAAAUGUGUAAGUAACUAUGCACGUCUUGACGGUACCUAAUCAGAAAGCCACGGCUAACUACGUG